rnacentral:rRNA from 1 species
CACGUAGGGUGCGAGCGUUGUCCGGAAUUAUUGGGCGUAAAGAGCUCGUAGGCGGUGUGUCGCGUCGGCCGUGAAAACCUGCAGCUUAACUGUGGGCGUGCGGUCGAUACGGGCAUCACUGGAGUUCGGCAGGGGAGACUGGAAUUCCUGGUGUAGCGGUGAAAUGCGCAGAUAUCAGGAGGAACACCGGUGGCGAAGGCGGGUCUCUGGGCCGAUACUGACGCUGAGGAGCGAAAGCGUGGGGAGCAAACGGG